UUAGAGCGAACGCUCUACUACAUCAUGUCUCGCCAGGUCAUUUAUCGCGUCGCAAUGACCUUGAGUCGCCGGCGCAACUGUGGCUGGUCUGACUAAAG
rnacentral:lncRNA from 1 species